rnacentral:rRNA from 1 species
GACGUAGGGCGCGAGCGUUGUCCGGAUUUAUUGGGCGUAAAGAGCUCGUAGGCGGUUUGUCGCGUCGUCUGUGAAAACCCACGGCUCAACUGUGGGCUUGCAGUCGAUACGGGCAGGCUAGAGUUCGGUAGGGGAGACUGGAAUUCCUGGUGUAGCGGUGAAAUGCGCAGAGUAUCAGGAGGAACACCGGUGGCGAAGGCGGGGUCUC